UACAGAGGUGGCAAGCGUUGUUCGGAAUUACUGGGCGUAAAGGGCGCGUAGGCGGUUCGUUAAGUCCUGUGUGAAAUCCCCCGGCUCAACUGGGGAACUGCACAGGAAACUAGCGGGCUUGAGUUCGGGAGAGGGAAGCGGAAUUCCCAGUGUAGCGGUGAAAUGCGUAGAUACUGGGAGGAACACCGGUGGCGAAGGCGGCUACCUGGACCGGUUCUGACGCUGAGGCGCGAAAGCGUGGGUAGCAAACAGG
rnacentral:rRNA from 1 species